rnacentral:misc_RNA from 1 species
AGCAGCCGCGGUAAUUCCAGCUCCAAUAGCGUAUAUUAAAGUUGUUGCAGUUAAAAAGCUCGUAGUUGAAUUUCGGGGUUCUUCCGUUGGUCAGGCUAACAAGUCUGUACUAGCGUGUAGAAUCUCUACCUUCUGGGGAACCAUCAUGUUAUUAAUUUAGCGUGGUGGGAAACCAGGACCUUUACCUUGAAAAAAUUAGAGUGUUCAAAGCAGGCUUACGUCUGAAUACAUUAGCAUGGAAUAAUAAAAUAGGACGGUGGUCCUGUUUGUUGGUUUCUGAAUCACCGUAAUGAUUAAUAGGGAUAGUUGGGGGCAUUAGUAUUCAAUUGUCAGAGGUGAAAUUCUUGGAUUUAUUGAAGACUAACUUCUGCGAAAGCAAUUUGCCAAGGAUGUUUUCAUUAAUCAAGAACGAAAGUUAGGGGAUCGAAGACGAUCAGAUACCGUCGUAGUCUUAAACCAUAAACUAUGCCGACUAGGGAUCGGACGAUGUUAAAUUUAUUGACUCGUUACGGCGCCUUAC